GACGAACGCUGGCGGCGUGCUUAGCACAUGCAAGUCGAACGGAAAGGCCCUGCUUUUGUGGGGUGCUCGAGUGGCGAACGGGUGAGUAACACGUGAGUAACCUGCCCUUGACUUUGGGAUAACUUCAGGAAACUGGGGCUAAUACCGGAUAGGAGCUCCUGCUGCAUGGUGGGGGUUGGAAAGUUUCGGCGGUUGGGGAUGGACUCGCGGCUUAUCAGCUUGUUGGUGGGGUAGUGGCUUACCAAGGCUUUGACGGGUAGCCGGCCUGAGAGGGUGACCGGCCACAUUGGGACUGAGAUACGGCCCAGACGCCUACGGGAGGCAGCAGUGGGGAAUAUUGCACAAUGGGCGGAAGCCUGAUGCAGCAACGCCGCGUGCGGGAUGACGGCCUUCGGGUUGUAAACCGCUUUCGCCUGUGACGAAGCGUGAGUGACGGUAAUGGGUAAAGAAGCACCGGCUAACUACGUG
rnacentral:rRNA from 1 species